rnacentral:lncRNA from 1 species
AUGUCUGUACGCGCAUCUUUUCACACACAACUGUCCUCCAUCAUGGAUGUACUGUCCAGGACCGCAAUGGCUCAUGUGUGCAAACUGGUUGACGACGAAUACUCGGAAAUAUCUCGAAUAUCACAAGAAAAUGAGGCUCUCACUGAAAAGCUGCAUAGUCUGGAAUGUGAACUGACCAUUGUGAAAAGCACAGCCCCAAAGCUGGCAGGGAAUUAUCGCUCCGUGGGUGUUCAAACUGGUGAAACAAUCCCCAGACCUGACAGAGGGCUGAACGGAUCUCCCACCGUUGAAGGAAUCUUUGGGAAGGAAUGGUGCCUGGAUCUAUGGAACCACGGGGACUCCAGCAACACGGGGAACCCUUCGCAGCAGUCAACGGAGGUGCCUCCAGGCCAAGCUGACGUCAAAGAGGAGGAUUUUGAGGUGGAAAUCAUAAACUCCAGUUACCCACAGCAAAGACCUACAAUCAUUCUAGACGGUAUGUGGUUAGAGGAUCUGAGAUGUUGGAUUUUGUCUGCCUUCGACGGUGUUAAAUCACCUAUGAUUUAACUUUUUUGGCAUUCAGUCAAGUCUUAUGUGAUCAUUGUGGAGUGUACGCAUCAUCUUUCCUUAUUAGGAUGACAGAAAAUUAAGGAUAUUUCCCAACCACCUGUUAAUGGGUUCUUUGGGAUUUCCAGAUUUCAGAUAUGUUCCUACUUACCUAGCGUCAGACUUACCCAGUGUCAGACAAAGUGAU